AAAAUCAUUAUUGAAUUGAAAAUCAAAUUUUCUAAUUAAAAUAAUCAUUAUUCUUCUAUCUAUCUUAUCUCUUGUUAAUGCUAUUUCUGGUUGUCUUUCUCUCUUUCUUUUUUUAAGUUCUAUAUUUAUGCCCAAGUUUUUUUAGUUAAGUUCAAACAUUUGUUUUGUUGGUCAAGUUCUAUAGUUAAUAAUUAAGCAUUGGAACAGGAAAUGGGCGCGCACAAUGAGUCCAAAGGCGAGAUUGGAAUCGAAAUCGAUAUAAAUGUGAAGAGAAGGAGGUGAAGAAGUUGAUCAAUGAAUUGAUGGCGGGAGAUAAAGGAAAGAAGACGAGUCAAAAGGAGUUGAAGAAAGCUAUUAAGAAGGUUUUCAUAUAACAACUUAGACAAAGUUAUUAAGAAGGUUUUGCUUAAACAAUAUUUGUAUUAAAAAUAAAUCCAAGUACAAAAGUUAAAAUAGUAUUCGGUCUAUUGGAUCGCCUAAUCUGAUUCAGGGUGACAUCAUGUGGAAGCCAUUUAAAAUAUGGUUAGAGAUCAUGUAUUGGAGAUGCUCUAACCAACAAUUAAGAGAUCAUGUAUUGGAGAUGCUCUAACCAACAAUAAUGCUAUAUAUAAAUCCCUAAGUAUUC
rnacentral:lncRNA from 1 species